CCUACGGGUGGCUGCAGUGGGGAAUAUUGCACAAUGGGGGAAACCCUGAUGCAGCGACGCCGCGUGAGUGAAGAAGUAUUUCGGUAUGUAAAGCUCUAUCAGCAGGGAAGAAAAAGACGGUACCUGAUUAAGAAGCCCCGGCUAACUACGUGCCAGCAGCCGCGGUAAUACGUGAGGGGCAAGCGUUAUCCGGAUUUACUGGGUGUAAAGGGGGCGUAGGCGGCAGCACAAGUCUGGAGGGAAAUGCCGGGGCUUAACCCGGGAACUGCAUUGGAAACUGGACAGCUCGAGUGCAGGAGAGGUAGGUGGAAUUCGUGGUGUAGCGGUGAAAGGCAUAGAUAUUAGGAAGAACGCCGGUGGCGAAGGCAGCAUACUGGACUCUAACUGACGUUGAGGCACGAAAGCGUGGGGAGCGAACAGGAUUAGAUACCCGAGUAGUC
rnacentral:rRNA from 1 species